rnacentral:rRNA from 1 species
GGAAUAUUGGACAAUGGGGGCAACCCUGAUCCAGCAAUGCCGCGUGUGUGAAGAAGGCCUUCGGGUUGUAAAGCACUUUCAUUGAGGAGGAAAAGCUGUCCGUUAAUAGCGUACAGCCGUGACGUUACUCAAAGAAGCAGCCCGGGCUAACUCCGUGCAAGCAGCCGAGGUAAAACGGAGGGUGCAAGCGUUAAUCGGAAUUACUGGGCGUAAAGCGCGCGUAGGCGGUUUAUUAAGUCAGAUGUGAAAUCCCCGGGCUCAACCUGGGAAUGGCAUUUGAGACUGGUAGGCUAGAGUGUGGUAGAGGUGAGUGGAAUUUCAGGUGUAGCGGUGAAAUGCGUAGAGAUCUGAAGGAACAUCAGUGGCGAAGGCGACUCACUGGGCCAUUACUGACGCUGAGGUGCGAAAGCGUGGGUAGCAAAC